GAUGAACGCUGGCGGCGUGCUUAACACAUGCAAGUCGAACGGGAAUUACUUUAUUGAAACUUCGGUCGAUUUAAUUUAAUUCUAGUGGCGGACGGGUGAGUAACGCGUGGGUAACCUGCCUUAUACAGGGGGAUAACAGUCAGAAAUGGCUGCUAAUACCGCAUAAGCGCACAGAGCUGCAUGGCUCGGUGUGAAAAACUCCGGUGGUAUAAGAUGGACCCGCGUUGGAUUAGCUUGUUGGUGGGGUAACGGCCCACCAAGGCGACGAUCCAUAGCCGGCCUGAGAGGGUGAACGGCCACAUUGGGACUGAGACACGGCCCAGACUCCUACGGGAGGCAGCAGUGGGGAAUAUUGCACAAUGGGGGAAACCCUGAUGCAGCGACGCCGCGUGAAGGAAGAAGUAUCUCGGUAUGUAAACUUCUAUCAGCAGGGAAGAUAGUGACGGUACCUGACGAAGAAGCCCCGGCUAACUACGUG
rnacentral:rRNA from 1 species